UACGAAGGGGGCUAGCGUUGUUCGGAAUUACUGGGCGUAAAGCGUGCGCAGGCGGUCUUCCAAGUCAGUGGUGAAAGCCCGGAGCUCAACUCCGGAACUGCCAUUGAAACUGUGAGACUCGAGUACGAGAGAGGUGAGUGGAAUUCCCAGUGUAGAGGUGAAAUUCGUAGAUAUUGGGAAGAACACCGGUGGCGAAGGCGGCUCACUGGCUCGUAACUGACGCUCAGGCACGACAGCGUGGGGAUCAAACAGGG
rnacentral:rRNA from 1 species